rnacentral:tRNA from 1 species
GCCUGGGUGGCUCAGUCGGUUGAGCGUCCGACUUUGGCUCAGGUCAUGAUCUCGAGGUUCGUGGGUUCGAGCCCCGCGUCGGGCU